rnacentral:rRNA from 1 species
CUCCAAUAGCGUAUAUUAAAGUUGUUGCAGUUAAAAAGCUCGUAGUUGGAUCUCAGGGUGAGUUCCGUUGGUCGGCCUGAUUGGGUCAGAACUGGCGGACUCUCCUUGUUUUUUGGAUCCGGUCGGGGUUGAUUCUUCGGCCGUGGAGUCCAGAUCGUUUACCUUGAAAAAAUUAGAAGUGUUCAAGCGGGCGUUUGCUU